AUAGCAGACUAGUAAGCCCUCCUGGGGUAACAGAAGGAUGAAUAGAGUUGGACACAGGGUUGUUCCCUGCCUUUUUACAUGCGGGUUAGAUUACAGAGAGGAAGUAGUCAUCUGCUAAGGUUGUGGUGUCUGCAUGAAAGGAGAGGAAUGUGAAUGGAGUGGUCUUGCGGAUUGUGGCCUUUCUGGAAAUAGAACACCAGCCGGUUAAUCAUGGUGUUGGAUAGGUGAUAGUGUGGAUAGCCAGCUGACUGCCUGUGGGGUCCUGACCUGGAUUGGAAUUUCAGAAGACUCCCCUGCUUCUGAUGUAAAAAGAGAUGGGGAUGGAGACAGUGACGGACAGAAUAAAAGACCUCUUGUCAAGCCAGAUCACGCCUACGCUGAUGUCAGACAUAUAAAAACCACUUCAUAGUGAUUAGAAGUGUUGUAUUUACAAGUCAAGAUCAGCUCUGGUGAUUGGAUGUCGGUUUUGCACAUAUUAAAUCAUCAAAAUGCAUAACUGUCCCACUUGACCUGAUGUCCCACAUUACCUGAACUCACCCUAGAUAAACAAGAAGCUAACGUUCUACUGUUAACAAUGUAUUGUUGACUUGUUGUAGCACACAAACGUAGCACAUCUGGCACAAAUCCACCUAAUUAUUUAAUAUUUGAGCAGCGGGACUUCUCAGCAGUUCUCCAUUGUAUUGAAUGAUAUCCCCCGGUAAACCAGAAGUGCCAAUACAACAGAAGUGCAAAAAGAUGAAAAAGGUGAGCGGGGUGGAAUAAGGUGAUUAGCCAGCCACCACCAUAGCAUUUGAACUGAAUGUUGUCAUGUGUCUCUUUUACAUGUGCUCAGGCAUAGCUGUGAAGUGACAACAAUGUGUUUAAAUUAGUGUUGUCAAACAAUUACAAUAUUUAAUCGCAAUCACAUUAAUGUUAUAGUUAACUCGCAAUUAAAUGCACAUUUGUAUCUAUUCUAAAUGUCCCUUGAUUUUUUUGUCCCAUUAUUUUUCUCAUUCUAAUGCUCUUAUCAACAUGGAAAACUGGAUCGGCUUGCUUAGUGCAAUUUUAUUUAAAUUGAAAACAACAUUGGCUUUGACAAGGGGGCGGAGAAUUCGCAUCAGCUGUGCGCUUGGCCAUUAUG